rnacentral:SRP_RNA from 9 species
AGCUUGAACCCCGUCAGGUCAGGAA